rnacentral:lncRNA from 1 species
UUCCGUCCUUUCCUGUUUGCUUGUUUUACUCGGUGUCUGUCUUCCGUCUUGCUCCUCUGCACCGUUCUCUUUCUCUGUCUGUCCGUUCCUAGACACGACCGUGACACUGUCCGUUUGUGUCGCGAUUGCACUGUCCUCGACUGCGGCCCCGCCUACAGCGCCGCCUUCCUUUUGCAUUUUCCCUUCUGAGUUGGUUGAUUUCUUUGCAGCCCCACCGCUGCUUUCUUCUCCACGGGCAGGAAAGUAACUCUCAGUAUCGAACGCAGACGUUGCUUGGCCUGUGAGAAAGUACGAUUCGCUUUCAGUUUGGAGGGUUGAAGUUCCCGUCGCGCUUGCGUCCGCCCCUCCCGCCGUCUCCGCAGCCGACCCGAGAGCAGGUGUAGAACUCGGAAACAAAGCGAUGGCCUUUGCAGACGCUGGAAAAACUGGAAAGACACGGCGAAACAGGAAAUCUCGCGCCUCCACGGCUUGGGGGGAAUUGAAAAGGUCUGCAGAUUCACUGAGUCGCGGGUGCGUCCAGCACCUCGCAAUGAUGGAACCGACGGGAAGGAAAGAAGCGAGAGAAUAGGGAGAGCGAGGCGAUGAGGGGAAAAGAAGGUGGCGUUUGAGCGCGGAAAUGACAGGAAGAAGCGCCUCGGGAGCGCUGUAGGGAACUGGAAGCAGCUGAGAGGAGAGGUCCACGCAGAAGAAAACAGACGCGGAAAAUCUGGGAAGUCAGCGACUUCAACUUCUAGUGUGUUUUUUCCGGGAGGUCUCUGGUUACCGGAGCCAAUCUUCCCAACGUGUUAACGUCGAGCCUAGAACACCCAGUUUAUCUGCGAGUCUACAUGCUAGGCAAACCUUGCCCUUUAUCGUCUUUGCUCUCUGCGACAGGCGAGGGUUCGAAGGUUUUCAUCGUUUUGCAACAGAGAGAAGGGAAGAACCUCGGAAAAAGUCAUCACAAAUCGAGAUCUUUUCGCUAGCUUCGAAAAACCAAAUCUGUCCCCGCACACCAAUCUGAGCCUGCGAGACGAAAGACCUAUAAGAACCAACGGUCGGCAUCUUUUUAUCACUUGGCCCAAAAUCUGAGAAAUUGGUCUAACACAGCUUAUCUCCUGUCCCCACCUAAUUUCUCUUCUACUUCCCCAACAGUUUCUUGACAGAGUCAAACACAGCCUAAGGCUUUUCCUUUUCCGUUUCGUCGACCCCCCUCGUCUUCGAGACUUCCAUAUCUAUAUCUAUGCAGAUGUUAUAUAUAUACGUGUCUAUCUACACAUCUACAUUUCAUAUAUAUAUAUAUAUAUAUAUAUAUAUACACUACAUAUCUAUAUGUAUAUAUAUGUUAUACACACACAUGUUUAUAUGUAUAUGUAUGUAUAGCGUUCAAGACUCGAAGGGACAUUGGAAUCGGUCUCUGUCCUCAGUUUGUUCACAACAUCGCGUUCUGCGCAGCGUUUUGAGGGCCGUGGAGAUCCAACACUUCAAGCUGUCUGGAGCACUCCUGCGGCGUCGCGAUGUGAAUGAAUUACAACUCGACACGGUUUCGCCUUUUGGAAAGGCAUCACGUACUCGUAUAGGAACUGCAGCGACUACUUCUAGGCUGUCGCCUUGACGUAGAUGUGAAGCGUCUCCGCCUCCUGAAAACGCGUGACCCAGCGUUUUGGCGUCAGGUCCUUCUUCUGACUCCUCGCCUCUCACACGACUGGGCGUUUUGGGAGGAGAAGGCGUUCGAGGGCGAAGGAGAUUCUUCUUCUGAAUCCGGCGAAGGCUUAGCGGAAACGAGAACAGGUAACACUCCUGUUGGAGUCGGAGAGGGAGAGGAGGCCGUAGACGAAGGAGAAGGCGAAGCAGGAGGCACCGGAAGGUCGGAUGAAGGAGAGGACGAGGGUUGUGUGGAGGAGAACGUGGGCGGCGAUAAGGAAAAGGGGCGACGAGGCGAAUCCGGGUGGAGAAAUGGAGGAGACAUCCGACUGAGAUUGACUAAAAAAAGCAGAUCUUGGUGGGGCGAGACGGCGCCGACAGAGCGCGAAGGAAGGUGGUGCCCUGGCACAGAAGAGGGACACAAAAUCGAAGGAGAAAGAAAAGACAGAUAAGAAAAGGGAACACCGAAGGCGGCAUACAGAAGCGAAGGUGAGGAGACACGGCAGAAAUCGACAGGUCGACGGCGGACUGGAUGAGAAGAAUCGAGGAGACUAAAAGAAGUCAAACUCCUUACCUAGACAAAGAAGAAGUUCGUGGGGUCUCACACCCUGGAAAAAGCUGCUUCUUUGCAGGAGAGCACUCCUAGGCAGCAUGGACUGUCGCUUGACGGCGACAACUGAUUCUGCAUCUACCUAAGGAAGGAAAACAAGGAAAUGCGGAAGGACGGCUGUGUCUACACAGUCAAAGGCGAUGCCGCUUUCCACAAGUACCCUAGUCGGGCAGGGUCAGAAAAUGCGACUUUCUACCUCCAGAGAAAGGAGACGAUUCACGACAAUCCGUGUCUCCUUCUUCAAACUCCGGUUUGUGUCCACGACGGGAGUUUUCAAACAGGCGCCGCUGGGGGGCGUUGCUUGCUUUCCUCUCUGCUCUCUAGGCCUCCCACAGCUGUUCCGCCCUCCAAGUCAUAUCUCUCUUAAGAGCGUGUACCACGUUCUUAACAAGAAGGCAGAGAAGCCCAGCUGUUUAGGUGUAUGCUCACGAAUAUCGUGCUCUUCUCGGGUGUGACUUACGGAGAAAUGGAUGACGAGAGUCAUCGCUUGGUGCCCGACAGCGUCGAUGGACACACGAGGCUGAGAGGCAGGGGAUGAGGGCAGGAAAGAAGACCGAGGAGCCACAACGAAUGAGGCAGUGAAACUCGAUACACUGUAUUUCUCACCACGUAGACACGGCGGUUAGAAGGUUGUUCAACAAGAGUGGAUUCAGUUAGGUUUUCCGCGUGGCUUCGCGUUCUCCGCGUUGAGGCCUCUGUGGUAGUAUUCUAUCUUGAUUCUCUUUUGUCUGUCAACGUGUCUCGACGAGCAUCUCUAUCUAUCUCCUCUGUCGACACCUUUCUACCUCAGACUACACCUCUCUCUCGUUUCCGUGAGAAUUUCGAGCCGCGCUCCUCCUUCCAGUUCUGAUCUUUCAGUGCCUCUGACUCACCCCGUACAGGUCGCUGAGUUCGCGAUGCAAUAUCUCCUUCCAGAUUCGGAGGAAGGCCUCAUAAAAGUUCUUUUUUUCAUUCGUGUUUCUGGCCUCCUCAGUGGGCUCUGGAGGCUCCGGAGGAACGGCGGAAGAAGCCGAAGAGACAGAGACAGCCGGCUCAGGAGACACGAGACGGUCGAGCGGCUGGCGCGAGUCAACAGACUCAAAGAGGUGACUGAAAAAAAGAAAAAGCACAGAAGCACGAACUUCGCCAUCCGCGUGUGUAAAGAGACUCUCGAGAUACCUGAGCACUCUGUCUUCGGCGCGGGCCUCUUCGCCUUGAUCUUCGCCGUUAUCCUCGGCUUCGCGUUCGUUGCCGGUUUCUCUCGCAUGUCCUCUUGCGACCCUGUCUAGCUCUGCGUUCGCCUCUCUGUCUCGGACGAGCUCCUUUUCCUCAUCCUGUCCAGCAAAGAGGAGGAGAAAUCGGUCGAGAAGCACAUCUGAGAACUCGACUUCAGGGUCGCUCAACUUCGGAGAGAGAAAGAAAGACAGCGCAGCUGAAGGAGCGCUGCGAACUGAACGAGGGGAGAAAGAAGACGCAGACGAUGCAGACGACGCAGACGACUCGGACGGACUUGAAACCAGCGCUUGAGGAGCGAGCAAGAGAGAGAUUCGGGCGCGACGGGACCGCAGAGUUUCACCUGAAAACCGAGAAAAAAUAGGGGUCCGCGAGACAGCGGAAGACUUGAAAGCAGACCGUUUUGGGCCCUUUUCAGGUGUCUGUACAUCAGACAUGUUUGGCUGGCCACGUGGAACAGCGUGUCAGACAGAGGGUCGCGUCAACUCACGAGCGAGUUUUUCUCGUCCUCUGCAUCUUGCGUGUCUUUUUUUCAUGAAGGCACAAGACCCCUAAAAAGCGGCAUGCGCCUUCUUGGAGGCUGCGCUCCAUGCCUCUGCGGAGUGUUCAUGACUUCCACACGAACCAAGUGAUGCUGAAAGCCUAAGCACGGAUAUAUUGUCUGAUUCCAUCAAGACUCUUUUCCUCCCCUUCUGGAGCCCUAGGGACGGCGAAAAACUCACAUAGCCACGAAUCCAGGCUCUCCGACUCCGCGGCGCGCAAGGGAGAAGAGUGGCCGUCUUCAGAGUCCAUGAGAGACUGAAGGAAAUAUCUAAACUGAAGGAGUUUCUUCUCCAGCUGCUCUGCCAAGACGUCGCUGUCUGUGUCCUGGCUCGUGCUCAUCCUCGCCUCCCCUUCCGCCGGAACGUAUUCCUCAGACGUCUCUGUGAUUUGUCGCCCAGCGACUGACGAAGGGAAGGCAGAGAAGAAGGGGAAAGGGUUUCGGUUUUUCUCGGCUGUUCGCGCGAGCGGGUGAGAACGCCUGUAGGAGCUGCAUCGAAGGCCCGUACACCGGAGAGCGAGGUGUACAUACACCUGGCGAUCAUCUCCAGCGCGCGACAGGACCGCCCAAGACCAUUUCCCGCCUGCGCGGUUCUCUUCCUUCUCACGGAGCACAUCGCUUUCUUCCUCUCGAUCUCCUUUCUGUUCGGAGUCGGCGUCCGCGUCUCUCGAGUUCCACUGCGUGCUCGCAGGAGAGACAAACUUGUCUUCCAACAGUGGCGGAGUAGGCAGGAGGGCGGAGGCAGCGCGAAGCAGCGAGCUCUGGAGGGAGAGAAUGUCGUGCUGUACGUACACAAGAAAAAGAGCCACCGCAGAAGUCACAAAAGCCCCGUGAAUUCCGUCACUGAUCAGGGCUAAUUGAUAAGCUGGAGCGAGUGCCGACGCUGAGGUCGAGUAAGUCAGGGGGAAAAUGGAGACAACAGGCAGAGGGUUUAGGAUUUGCUGUAUUGCAUCUGAAUUUCUGUCUUGUGAAUCCCACAGUCCGUCUCAUGUGGCGAUGGGCAGUGCUCACCGACUCCGACACAGCGUUUUCUCUGUCUCUUCAGAAAGCUCCCUUAAACUCCUGCAAGCUUUAGGCGCACAUGCAUAUAUGUAUAUGCAUGUGUAUAGAUGUGUAUCAAGGUAUAUUUGAAUAUGCAUAGUUAUGUAUCUAUAUAAACUUGGGAGGAACAAAUGCGAGAAACCGUCUGCCAGCGUAGACAUGCAGGUGGUACAGAACGUCAGCAACUAUGUUGGCGCUGUUUCUUUGGUUGGAAAGAAAGGUUUCUCUUUUCCAGUGAAGGCCUGUAUAGAAAAGAAAGAGACUUCUUCCUUACAGUUUUCAUGCGUUUCAACUGCGUCCCGUUCCCUCCUCGAUCAAGAGUGACAAUGACCUCUCCUUCCCAGAAAACGUGAGAUUCGACUGCCUCUUGCUCGCCGCUUUCUUCCAUUUGUGGCUCAUUCAUGACCCCACCAAAAGGUAUCUGCACGCGGUGUCGCUCUGCCUCGCCCCUCUCUCUCGCGCUGCCUCUCCACGUGUCUCUGGGCUCCUCUUUUCUCUCCUCUCGACCCUCAAGUCCACCGUGAGCGUCCGCAGGCGCGGGGCGUUGCCUUCGGCCUUCAUCGCUUUCUCUCUGGACCUGGAGAGAAGCUGAUAUGCCCCAUGGGCGAGACCCUGCGGGCGGCGAGAAGGACUGUGUAGACGAGGCAUCAUGUGAGGACGACUCCGAAGAUGCUGGGGCGAAAUCGAGUUUAGCAGAAGGAGAAGAAACAGGGGACGCCACGGGCAGGGAACUAGAGCCAUGUGGUGCGUGGAAAAAUGGAGACACAGUUCCUCCUUCAGAAGAAGAGAAGCCUGUAUCUGUCUCCAUUCCUAGCUCGGCCGCUUCCUGCGCAUUCUUCUGUUCCAUUUGAGUAGGAUUCUUCACUGGCAGACCCUGGUUUGUCGUCGCGUUCUCCUCGCUUCCCUCUCGAGAGGUGGAAGGAAAAGCACUCCUUUCUUCUCUGGCCUCUAGCGUUGAUGCUUCGCUGUCUUGUUUGUUCCCUGUCUCCGCUUCACCCGCCACAAGCAGCGACGAAGGCAGUUUUCCUGAGUUCUCUCUCCACCUGCUUCCUGUCUUGUCUCUUCUCUCGGUCUCUUCGUCUCUCGCGGUCGCGCUUCUUCUCGACUCUCGAUCUUCUCCACGAUCAGGCUCGCGUCUCUCGCGUUCAACCUUCGUGUGGUCAGUCGCCCCUCUGUCGCGUUCUUCUUCCAUGCUUCCACUUGCCUCCUGUGGCCGCUCGUCUGCUUCGCUCGACUCUCCAGAGGGGAAUUGGCGAUGCUUCCAAUUUUUCUUUCGAGAAGGCGAAGCGUCUAACGAGACGCUGCUGGAGGCGCGGUCGAAGGAAAAGCCCCUUCUCCUCGCCGUCUCCUCAGAAGAAUUCCGCUUUCUCUGUUCGCCUCCUGUUCUGCCUUGCUCGUUGAGACUUUCUGUCGUUCUCGCCAGGUCCUCGAGUUUCGCUGUGGCCUCCUCUCUCCUCUCGUCUGCCACUUGCUCGAAAGAAGCUUGGAAAGAAAAGUGGAGACGCGUGGAAGAGAAGGGUGGCCGGUCUUUUCUCAUCGGCAAAGCAUGUGUGCCUUCCCCCCCUCUCUCGCGUUUCUUUUGUGGAGCUUCAUCUCUCUUUGCUGCUUCAACCUCCUCUGCCGAGUCAUCAUUCUCUCUGUCUCGGACCCUCGCCUUCGCUCGACCCUCGAGUCCUACGCCAUCCGCAUCGGACUCCACCUUUCUCUCCUUUCUUCCUUGCUCUCCGCCUUGGUGUAGCCACUCGCUCUGUCGCCUUUCUUCUCUCUGAAGGCGAGGACGAGAGACAAUUUCCUGACCUUGCUGCCGCGUCGCGAGUAUCUCGGACGCCCCAGCCUUUCCGGCGUCUCUCGGCUCUGAACUGUCUCCCUCCAGUGAAGCAGAAGAAUAUGGAGAAGCAGAGGAGGAAGAAGAGAGAGGAGAAGAAAGAGCAGACGCUUCAUCGCUGGAGAUAAACGGCAGCGAGUGAGGAAGCGAUCCAGACGAAGGAGACGGGGCUUCGGGCCUCUCCACCUCAGUCUUGUCUCUAGUUGAGUACAAAGCUUCCUCUCUGUGGGUGUUUUCCUUUGCUGUCUCUCCUUCCAGUGUUCCUCGGCUUGCCACCGAGUUGGCAGGCGUCUUUCUCUCUUCUGUUUUGUUCACUUCUUCCCUCCCCGAGAGCUCGGCAUCCCAGCCAGAAGGCAGAUCUUGUCGCAAGUCGGCUUCGACGUAUGUGGUGUAUCCACUGGCGGUCGAGUGGUCUCUCGGUCUUCUGUCUCGUUGCGCUUCUUCGUCGACACUGGCUCGACUUUCGUCUGAAUCUUCGCACGCUACAACGCCCUCAGGAAACAUCGGGAAAAGCCAAGAAGGCAACGACGUUCCGGCUUCUCGCGACUCCAUGUGCCAGGCAAAGUCCGCGUCUUUGGCUCUUUGCACAUCAGGAAAGGAGGGCCUUUCUCCGCCUGUCCGCCAGUCCCACAAAGAGAGCACCGACAGGAGGUUUCCCCGCUGCUGCUCUGAUUUGACAUCUUCCAUCAAGCAGCAUAGAAAACGUCUUCGGAUUUCGCGAAGCUGUUCAACGUAGUCAUUCGCUGUGUCCGGUCCCGAUCCAGAAGAAGGCGCUGAAGUGUCUGCAGAGAAGCUCGAGGCGUUCUGGAAGCUUUCUUGGGCUCCAUCGAUUUUCCUUGCUCCUCUGUGAGACGGCAUCCACGCCAGCAGCACCUGAGGACUCAGGACGCUGGUUUCUUCCGGCAGGGACGCCGUAUGGCCUUUUUUAUCCGCCUCUCUGCGACUUUCUUCUCGCACUUCGAAGGCGGCAAGCUCCGCCCGGUGUCCCUCUCGACAGACUCCAGAGGCAGCUGCAGCGGAAAGCGACGCUCGCGGUUCACCGCUGAGGUUUCCGUCGCCUUCUGCAACCCAGAGAAGAAGCCGCAAAAGCGUCCGGAGAUGCAGCAGACACGAAGAAGCAUGGGGAGAGGCGGAGCGACACCGUCCGUCUGUGGUGUCGCAAAACGCCAUAGAAAACUCGUACCAGCCGCAGUCGCUGUCCAAGGUGCAUCGUUCUCCGUCUAUUGGCCGGCACUGCCCCCGCCGAAGCGUUUUCUCUUCGACAAAGUCUCUCUUAGAAGUGGAGUCUCUCUCAGCCUCUUCGUCUCCAACGCCGGCGAACCGCGUUCCAGGCGGACAGACCAGCGAAGGCGAGACGCCCUCUCCAAGAAUGAAAGGCAACUCGAGCGAUCCAGAGAAGGGGGGAGCGAGAGAUGCCUGUGCAUCGAGAGGAGAAGCUGGAGCAGGAAACGAAGAAGGAGGGGGAGAAGAAGAAGGAUAGAAGGGAGGUGGUGGGGGAAAAGCGGCAGCGGGUGGCGCAGAGACUUCAGGGAAAGGCGGCGGAUCUUCAGGAAGAGGAACGACCUGUUGAAGGGGGGCCGAACGGUUGAUGGAGCCAGAAACCGUAGCAAAGGGAAACGGUGGAACGCAGCGAUAAUUCACACACAAAAGUCCGGGACCACAUUCUCUGGGGAUUUUGCCCGAGCAUGCAGACUGCUCUCCCCGACGUGUUUCGCAGGCUACGUGGCCAGCAAAGGGCGAUGGCGGCGGACAAAAGAAACGCUGCAGGCACCAGGGAGACAGUGUAUACACACAAGUGAAAGGCGGUAAGCAACAGUGAGGGUAGAGGGAGAGGAGCAUCGAGCAGCUCCAAGAGAUUCGCUUGGAAAGACGGCGAAUCGGAACUUGAGCAAACGAGAGGGAGGAGAACGCAGGGAAAAACGAAAUGUGGUGGAAAAACGGCAGGAAGCGCUCGCCAACGUGCUCAGUGCGAAGCAGUGAAGAGAAAGGAGAUGUGUACGCCACAGCAGAAGAAGGAAGGAAAUAACAAAGGAAAACGGCCGAAAGGAGAACGAUCGGGGCCUUUCAACUGCAGCCGAACUCCGGCCGGGGAGAGGUCACGCGAAAAAACAAAGAGUUGUUCGAGACAGUCGACACCCUCAACGAGAAACAGAGAACCUGAAAGAAAAACUCGGCGCAUACAGCUCUAUGGAAACUGAAAACCUGCACACAGGCCAAGACGUCUCAGAGAGAGGACAGGCAGUUUCCUGGCACAUGAACGGGAUCUGCUCACGAUGACGAGAAGCAGUCCAUCGGUCUCUGCUUGGCUUUCCAAAAGGCAGACACCUUCAUGCGUGUCUCUCUCUCUUCUCUUUCUUCUUUCCGUAUGUGCAUCCACCCCUCCCCUUCCCUCUCAGUCACUGCGACUCCUACCUCGUCGCAGCAGCACGUUAUCAGAGAGGAUUUUCCGGGGCCUCUGUUCUGGAGCAGAUCGAGAUGUCUGGCGCAUGCUGGGUCGCUUCUUCUUUGGGUGUUUUUCGCUCCUUCUUGUUCUCCUUCGCCUCCUAAUGCGCGGUCCUCUCCUCGCAUAGUGAUGUGCGGUAACGACAGGAGAGGGUAGACGCCGUCUUGCCCAUAUUGCCGCGUCGCUUCUGCAUCACGUCUCGUUGUCUCUGCCGCCAACUUGGUUUCUCCUGGCUGUCUUGUCUUCGCCGCUUCUCUUGCUUCUUGCUUGCGCCUCGGGAUGCCGUAAAGUGCACUUUCCUCUCUCUCGCUCGACGGUCCAUACACCCCGCCUGGUUCCCUUUCUCCCUGCUUCUCUCCUGUCACGUCCCUCACCGGCAGCUGAAGAGAAGAGCCUUCCGCGAGGCGGCUGGUCACAUCUUCGCUUUGCACCUCUGGCCACCACAUCUGCCAUUCCGUUUCUCCCGGGAACUGAACGUGUUGUCUGUUCAGCGUCUGUUGCCGCUCUAGCCCUUCUUGUCUCUCCAGUGCCUCUCUCAGCAGUGGGGCACUGUUUCCUCGACUUCCCCGCUCAGACGAGAAACUGGUGUGCUCAGGAUUUCCAAAGGGCGUUUGCCUUGUCAGCGCGUCUCGCCUCAGAAGCAGCUCUUGGAGCAGAGCGGAAAACUGUGCAUCUGAAAGAGUUUCUCUCCCCUCUGGGGACAGGAUCCCUGGACCCCCUGCAGGCACCUCCAGUCCAGCAGCCACGGAGAGCGUCACAGCCUGCAGAGAAGAGCUCCUGCUUCCGCCAACAGAUUCGUCGCUGUUGGCUGACUUUGUUCUCGACUCUCCAAGUCCCUGUUUCUCUUCCUCUGCCCCUAACCUGCCUCCGACCGCAGCGAAGAGCGAAGCAGCUGAAGUCGGAGACGAAGAAGGCGCAGGCGGCAGAGCCAGGCCGCCUGGCAGAGACGCCUGUGUUGAAGGGGAGAAAGGGGACUGAAAGAAAGGACGAGCUGUCUGAUUCACAAGACCCAGUGGGGAUGGAGAGGCUAGUGAAAUGUCGAGACGCUCCUGGCCUGUCCCUCCUUGACUUUCCCGUGGGGGUGCCAGCCUAGCGUUGCGGGUUGUCUCCGACGCAGUCGCAGUCUGCACUUCAUCAGGGACAAGAAUGACCGCAUCUUCUGGGCGCAUAGAACCCAACGCGGCGGGGCUGCUCCGGGAAGCACUGGGCGUCGCCUGGUACCUUCUCGGCUGCACGGAGACGGGGGGGAACCCUCCAAGCCCCCCAGGAAGCCCGGGGGGCACUAGAGACACAACGCCCUCUUGGCGCUGUGCCCCUGAAGGCGCCACGGUUCCCGCAUCGCUGUCUUGAAUGGAUUCAAGCAGAGCUGCCAGCGUUGCAGCUCCGAAUGGGAGACUGUCUCCGCCACCCCCACCUUGUUGCACCGCGGCCACACCCUCAGGAGCAGCUACAGCCAGCAAGCCUCCGAUCUGCGGAGACACCAAGAAAGAUGAAAAGGGAGAGAAGGCAGCCUGCGACAGCAAAGUUCUCGCAGCGUCUGCCUCGGCUCGGGCCGCUCCAGCCGCCAGUGCGGCAGACGGCGACCCCGGAGCCCCAGGAGGCGGCGCGGUUGAGGCGGGACUGUUGGGCGAGAAACUUGCCGGCAUGGAGACGGCAGACGGGAAAGCAGAGACAUCCCGCGUAGCAAGGUACGGAGACACAAGGCUGCUUGUCUGCACGGUAGGAUCCGCCCCCAACAGGGCUCCUAACGGUGCGGAGGACCUUUGGAGCCCAAGCGUGGUUGCGGGCGCAGCGGCUUGCGGAGAGACGCUGGUCUCUGCACCUGGAGACGCAAAAGUAGAGAAAGGGAGCUGAGGAGACAGCUCAGGCAGCGAGAAGGGCAGAUUCAGCUGAGGAGGGAUCUGCCCAGAAAGCAGAGAUCCAGACAGGGGCAUGGGACCAGGCGCAGCGAUCAUUGAAGGAAAGGCGGUUUGCACUGGAGUGGAGACAGGAGCCAGAACUGGCGCCGGAACUGGCGCCGGAACCGGGGUCGGAACUGGCGCCGGAACCGGGGUCGGAACUGGCGCCGGAACCGGGGUCGGAACGGGAGUGGGGACAGGCGUGGAGAUUGGGUAAGGGAAGGGGACGGGCACGACAGGCGGUGGCAUGGGAAGAGCUUGAGGUAUCGGCUGGCUGAAGAGAGGCGCAAGCAGUUGUGAUGCCCCGGCAGCGCAGGGGAUAUUGUAGUUCUUGCUGUUGGAAGAAGCAUCAAACGACGGAUAUUUGGCCCAAGCGAGAUGAGAUGGAACGCCACAGGAAGAAGACUUGCUGCACAUCGGCCGUUUAGCUGUGAAAAGCCUUUUCUUCUUCCCUUGAUUUGUGAAGUGUUGACCGUCAAGAACUCCCUCGUCGCUGUUCUCGUUUCCAAUGUCCUCAGCAUCGUCAUCAUCAUCUUGCUCAUCGUUUUCCCCAGAACUGUCGCUUGUGGUUUCACCUUCCUGGCGGCUAUUGCUCUUCAUAAUUCGUUCCUCGAGAAGAGGCGACUGGGCCGUGACAGGUUCUGUCUCCUCCUGCUCCUCUUCGGAUCUGCCAGGACCGUUGAAGCGGUACUUAAAGACGAAGUCAAGAUUCGUUCUCUCCUUUCUUCCUCGGUCCCAUCCCUCAGCCUCUUGUUUGUUCUGGACGGUCUGCAGGAACCUGUUUGAGCUUCCCUCUUUUUCUUGGUGUACGUUUCCCCACGAAGGUGCCUUUGCUGCCACGUCUGUCUCCUGUAUGGACAUCUGUCGCUGAGGAAUCUGAAGGAUCCGAGAUGUACCUUCGAAGGCAGACGACUCACUGCUACUCACAGAUACGCCAUCUGAGUCUGGAGAAAACAAUGAAUCGACUUUUUCCCCUUUUCCUUGUCGGCUAAGUGACCUGGCUGGUACUCCUGGAAGCGGAAAAAACGCUUCGUUUUGUACCCCUGAAGGACGAUUGGCUGAUAGUGAACGAAACGCCAUCUGUGAAGGCAGCACCUCUGACUCAUGCGAACCUAGAGUCGACGACAGGGGCUCGCAAAUGCCUUUUUCCGAGCAUACUCCACAUUCCGACUUGCAAACCACAUACAGGCCGUCACAGGCCUGUCCCCAACUGGCCUCCUCUACACAAAAGUACUCGUUCUCUACAUAUCCCGGGGACGCUAAUCGCCUCCGGUGCCUAUCACCACCCUCAGAAAAGGGCCUUUCCUCAUCGUGUUUCUGCACCUCUCCAUCUGCCGUCUCUUCUGCUUUCGUCUUUACUCUGCUGCUGAAGUCGCCCUCGACUCCACUACGGCCGAUCGAUUUGAGACGGCGAGAUGAAUCUAUACUGCCUUUGACUGCGUCGAUUCGCUGUGUCUGGUCUGCUGGCAUACGGUGAGAGUUCCGUCGCAACGAAGCCAGUGCUGUGUUGCCACGUUUGUGCAAACGUCGUUGCGGCGCCUCUCGUGCGCCAAGCUGUGGAGAAAGGGGUUGAAGGCGAGGAUGCUGGCGAAGCGCAGAAGCCAGCAGUCUCACUUGUCUGUACGUAGGUGUCUCUCUUUCGUCAGCCAAUCCAAAAGCUCUGACUGACGAACUGACAUUGAAAAGUUUCACCUGCCCCACCGAGGAAUCCGGUAUGGAGCGGAGGCGGCAGACGCCAGACGAACACAAAUGGGACUCCUCCGGUAGGCAUCGUUCUCCCGUGGCAAGAAUUGGCGAGCACACCUGCGAGGUGGCCGUGCACCGAAGCCCCGUUGCACACACAUGGGGGCUCGCAUGACAAGCGCUUCCAGCUGGCAGGGAAUACGGCGCUAUGCAGAUACCUGUAAUGACACACCGAAUGCAAGCAGAACUCGUGGUUCAUGACAGACUACCUUUGUCUUUUCGCCACCGAACACCGUCGACACGGACCGGCUCAGGAAUGUGCUGCCUGUCCACGGUGUGCCAGCUGUGUGUCAGACUGAUUGAAAACCGUGCUGGCUGCCGAUUGAAACAGUUGCGCCCUUUUAAUCAGAGCGCGAUCUUUGUGCUUUCCAGUUCGUUUACUAAACAAACAACCCACACAAAAGGCUGUUUACGGCUUGAACAUGCACACUCUCUGGUCACGGAGGCCUUCUCUUUUGAGAGACGGAAAGUGAAACACAGCAGCAAAAGGUCCCAGGGGAUGUAGGACUACAACAGAACAAAAGACUCUCUUUCACGGGUACCGCUAUUCAUCCAUUC